AUUCAUUGUCACCGGCCAAGUCAAUGGAUAGUAUUAAGGUGGAGAUGAGCAUACUCUGGAUUAGUAUGGGUAUAAGGGGUUAUGGGGAGAAGAUAGAAGAAUGGGGUUGGAGGAAAAGAUAGAUCAGCCACGAUUGAA